rnacentral:tRNA from 1 species
GCCGGGUUGGCCGAGUGGCAUAGGCAGCGGGCUGCAGACCCGUGGACGGGGGUUCGAGUCCCCCACCCGGCU